UUCGUAGGUGGCCAACUAAGCCAGACGUGAAAUCCCUCAGCUUAACUGGGGAACUGCGUCUGGGACUGGAUGGCUUGAGUGCAGGAGAGGAACGCGGAAUUCCAGGUGUAGCGGUGAAAUGCGUAGAUAUCUGGAGGAACACCGGUGGCGAAGGCGGCGUUCUGGACUGCAACUGACACUGAGGAACGAAAGCCAAGGGGAGCAAACG
rnacentral:rRNA from 1 species